CUCGGCGUGGUCGGGCGGCCAGGUGACCGGCCUGCGCGGCCGCGGCGGGUACACCGUGAGCCUGACCUGGAGUUCGGGCCAGCUCACCGAGGC
rnacentral:tRNA from 1 species